AGCGCGGUGCAGAUUAUGCCAUUGUGGAAGGACAGGGCAACUACUGUAUACCGUGUGCUUGAAGUAUCUAUGAAUAAAAAAAAGAUCAAAAUUGGUGGUACUAAUUAAAAGACGGCAAGUUGUUUAAAAAAAAAAUCCUAGCUAAAAUAAGCAUGCAUGGAGAUUGGAGGCAGAAAAUGUGCUGAUCUGGAACAUUUUUUAGGUAAUCUUAUAGCCUUUUAUUAUUGAAUGAGAUUCUAUAAAUUUUACCUUUGGACAAUUAUAUUCCCACAAAUGACGAUAUUAGUUGAAAACAAUGUAUUUUUAAAAAUUUUCUCUGUAAUACAAAUCAUGUAAAUUCAUUUUAAAAAAUAUAUAGUUUUAUGAUUUGAAA